rnacentral:SRP_RNA from 1 species
GCCGGGCAUGGUGGCUCAUGCCUGUAAUCCCAGCACUUUGGGAGGCUGAGGCAGGUGGAUCAUUUGAGGUCAGGAGUUUGAGACCAGCCUGACCAACACGGUGAAACCCUGUCUCUA